AUGCGACCCUAGCUGUGCUCCCGGGGCACGUGGCGCUGCGUGGGGCGGGAUGGAGGGAGGCUGUGGCCGGAGGCUUCAGGGUCCUCACUGUGCUGCCUGUCCUCGGGAUGUCCCGGGGGCGAGUCCCCAACAGGCCUGGUCCUGGGGAAAGAGCGCAGCCCUCAGCACAGUCCUUGCUGCCUGGACAGGAGCGGGGCCGGGGAUGCUUCCCCGUGACAGGAGGGAGAAGGGAUGAGCAACAAACCUGAAGGCUGCGUCUCACCCCAGACGUGGAUUGUUUGAACCCGGAGAUGAGCGAGUUAGCCCGGAAACGACUAAGCCAACAUUUCAGGAGUUUCCUUUUCCUUGGGCCACCAAGUGUGCAGCCUGAGAACCGGAUCUGUUGCCUGCCCUGGGCACAAGGGGAGGCGCCUCCUGGCUCUUCCCAGGAUGACCUUCCGGGCACAAGGGGAGGCGCCUCCCGGCUCUUCCCAGGAUGACCUUCCGGGAACAAGGGGAGGCGCCUCCAGGCUCUUCCCAGGACGACCUUCCGGGAAUAAGGGGAGGCGCCUCCCGGCUCUUCCCAGGAUGACCUUCCGGGAACAAGGGGAGGCGCCUCCCGGCUCUUCCCAGAACGACCUUCCAGGCCUCUGGGAUGAGCGUGUCCCCAGAAUCUGCUCUGUUCACCUUCAUCCAGGCCUUUGCCUCUGAAGGUGCUCACAGGUGACGACUGAGUGGCUGGGGCAGGCACCCAUGUCGGGACGGGAUGUCGCACCUGUGGACUCCAGGGGCCAGGAAGAGGAUCCUUCAGCGACCUGCCCGGGAGCCUGGAAGCUUCCACAGGGCAGGAGGGUGUGUUCUGCAAACUGUACCGUGCAACUGUGAGGGCAGCUGCUGCCUGGCCCCCCGCAGGCCCCGAGGCUCCCGUGCUCCCCUUGCUCCGUCCAUAUCUUCCUGGCUUCCCUCCCACAGGCUCAAGGGCAAGAGUGUGCACCAUGUGGACACCGUGUCCACCCGCUGGCCGUGGGUGCUCCGGCGUCUGGGGAGCGUCUCGGGUGCUCCGGGAGCCAUCACUCUCCAGUUUUCUCUGCAAAGGUCCAUGAUGAUGUUGUGGCUGAGCUUAGAAAGAGACUUUUUUUUAUCUGCCCAAAAUGCUUGGACGUUUUCUGUCCCCUUCACUUCACUCCUGGAAAAGACAAGGCUCAGGACAAUCUGUGGGUGUCUCUCUUCUUCUGAAGCCAAGAGCCACUUUUGGGUUUUUUUGUUCGUUUGGAUGGAGUUUCGUUUUGUCGCCCAGGCUGGAGUGCAGUGGCAUGAUCUUAGCUCACUGCAACCUCCACCUCCCAGGUUCAAGUGAUUCUUCUGCCUCAGCCUCCUGAGUAGCUGGGAUUACAGGCAUGUGAGACCACGCCCGGCUAAUUUUUUUUUUGUUUGUAGAGAUGAGGUCUCCCUAUGUUGCCCAGGCUGGUCUAGAACUUCUGGUCUCAAGCAAUCUGCCCGCCUCGGCCUCCUAAAGUGCUAGGAUUAUAGGUGUGAGCCAUCACGCCAGGUCAAGAGCCACUUUCUAAAGUAACCUUUGGACAUGCUGCCCCCCCCUACCCAGGCCCUGGGUCCCCUCCCAGCUCCUGGGGCUCCUCCACCUUACAGGGCUCUCCCGAGGAGGCCUGGCCCACCCACCCCACUCUCUGCAUGGAUGGGCAGAGGCUCUCUCCCUGCCCACUCUGGGCCUUGCUGACACCUGGGCCUUGCCUCCAUGUCCCAGGUGAGCCUGGCCUCUCUCUCCGGCUUUCAGAAUCACACACUAGCAGGUCCCAAGCUAGCGGCACAGAGCUCUUCCUUCUGCCUCAACACCACCCACCCUUCUCAGCAGAAGGCCCAGCACAUCCUGCCCCUGCUCCUCCCACCGGGCUCCAGAGAGAGCUGCCCCGUGAUCCAUGCACACACCAGUGCACAGGGGUCCACACCGCCAGGCGACAGCACGCUGGGUGCAGUGUCUGCUUGCUCUGCCUCCUGCCUCAGGACCUGGGCCCCUCAGACACCCAACUGCUCCCUCCCGGAGGCUCGAAAGCCAGCAAAGGAAGGGAUAACCAUCAUUUAUUCAUCUAUCCAUCCAUCCAUCCAUCCAUCCAUCCAUCCAUCCAUCCAUCCAUCCAUGCAUCCAUGCAUCCAUCCAUCCAAUCCAUCCAUUCAUCCAUCCAUCCAUCCAUCCACCCACCCAGCCACCCAUUCACCCAUCUGUCCAUCCAUCCAUCCAUCCAUCCAUCCACCCAUCCACCCACCCAUUCACCCACCCAUUCACCCAACCAUCCAUCCAUCCAUCCAUCCACCCACCCACCCAUUCAACCAUCCAUCCAUCCACCCACCCAUUCACCCACCCAUCCAUCCACCCAUCCAUCCAUCCAUCCACCCACCCACCCAAUCAACCAUCCAUCCAUCCAUCUUUCCAUCCAUCUAUGUAUAUUUAUGUAUUUUAAGGAAUUUCCUCAUACAAUUGUGGAGUCUGAAAUCUGCAAGGCAGGUGGCAGCCUGGAGACCUAAGGAGAGCUGCAGUUGGAGUCCCAGGGCCUCUGCUAGCAGAAUUCCUUCUUGCUUGGGGAGGUCCAUCUUGGUUUUCUUAAGACCUUCAACUGAUUGAAUGAGGCCCACCUGCAUUUUGGAGAGCCACCUGCUUCCCCAAAGUCCACUGAUUGAAAUGUUACUCUCAGCCAAAAAGCACCCUCCCAGAAACAUGAGAACCAGAAUUAGUGCUUGACCAAAUAUCUGGGCACUGUGGCCCAGCCAAGUUGACACAAUUACCCAUCACAAUGCUGGUGCCAGGGAAGGGAAGGAAAAGCUCUUCCCUGUGAGCUGGUGACCUGGGGUCCUGGGCUGGGAUAGCUCAACAGGAAGUAAAUGUCCCUCUCCAGAGACAGCCCCUCCUGUGUCUACAGAUGUCCUGAUGUAACAUGUCUUUUAAAAUGAGGGUUUGUUCAUGAAAUUUUUUUCUUAACCAAUAAAAUGGAUUAAGUAGAAUGCAUAGUUUAAAUGUUUAGUUCUUUAGUUAUGGGUAGGGUUGAAUCUUUCUGUACCUUAUCAGCCACUUGUAUUUCUUUUUUACUUUGUUGCCUAUUCAUAUUGCUUUCCCAGUUUUCAUGGGCACAACAUUAUUUAAUAAAUACAUUUUAUAAAUUAA